UACGAGUGCCUCAAGCGUUAUCCGGAAUCAUUGGGCGUAAAGGUUGUGUAGGUGGUUGUAUUAGUCUUCUGUUAAAUUCUUCGGCUUAACCGGGGGCAUGCAGGGGAAACGGUACAACUAGAGGAUGCGAGGGGUCUGUGGAAUUCAUAGUGUAGCGGUAAAAAUGCGUUGAUAUUAUGGAGAACACCAAAAAGCAAAAGGCAGCAGACUGGAGCACUCCUGACACUGAAACAAGAAAGCGUGGGUCGCGAAAUGGGG
rnacentral:rRNA from 1 species